rnacentral:rRNA from 1 species
UACGAAGGGGGCGAGCGUUGUUCGGAAUUACUGGGCGUAAAGGGCGCGUAGGCGGCCGAUCAAGUCAGAUGUGAAAGUCCUGGGCUUAACCUGGGGACUGCAUUUGAUACUGAUUGGCUUGAAUGCAGGAGAGGAUAGCGGAAUUCCCAGUGUAGAGGUGAAAUUCGUAGAUAUUGGGAAGAACACCGGUGGCGAAGGCGGCUAUCUGGACUGUGAUUGACGCUGGAGGCGCGAAAAGCGUGGGGGAGCAAAACAGG